UACGUAGGGGGCUAGCGUUGUCCGGAAUCAUUGGGCGUAAAGAGCGUGUAGGCGGUUCGGUAAGUCCGCUGUGAAAGUCCAGGGCUCAACCCUGGAAUGCCGGUGGAUACUGUCGGGCUAGAGUCCGGAAGAGGCGAGUGGAAUUCCUGGUGUAGCGGUGAAAUGCGCAGAUAUCAGGAGGAACACCAGCGGCGAAGGCGGCGCUCUGGGCCGAUACUGACGCUGAGGAGCGAAAGCGUGGGGAGCGAACAGG
rnacentral:rRNA from 1 species